rnacentral:rRNA from 1 species
UACGUAGGGUCCAAGCGUUAAUCGGAAUUAUUGGGCGUAAAGGGUGCGUAGGCGGCCUGACAAGUCUGAUGUGAAAUCCCUGGGCUCAACCCAGGGCCUGCAUCGGAAACUGUCGGGCUUGAGUAUGGGAGAGGUGAGUGGAAUUUCCGGUGUAGCGGUGAAAUGCGUAGAUAUCGGAAGGAACACCUGUGGCGAAAGCGGCUCACUGGACCAUUACUGACGCUGAGGCACGAAAGCGAGGGGAGCAAACAGG